rnacentral:lncRNA from 1 species
AAGAAUCUGAAUUUAUAGUUCAAACUAUGCUAGCAAAAUUCACCUGAUUGACUAAUUGCCACAAAAAUAGAAAUUUGGAUUGAAAACAAUCAAAUAAUUGAACACAAGAAAACUAAGUAAAUGAUUCCAUGGACAGGUGUAAAUAAUGCUGAAAACUAAGUAAACAGUAGUACUACUUUUGAUAUGAAGUAUGCAACCUAGUGAAAUGGCUUUUGAUAUGAGGCAUGCAACCUAGUGAAAUGGCAGAUACAGAAUGCAACAAUAAAUUUCAUGGAACCAGACCAACAUUAAAGGACAUAAAUUAAAGCUUUUAGGCGCACAGCAAGAUGGCAGAUACAGAAUGCAACAACAAUUUCAUGGAACCAGACCAACAUUAAAGGACAUAAACUACAGCUUUUAGGCGCACAGCAAGAACAUGUUGGCCCUAUAAAGGGGAUUACUCAAUGUUGCAGAACACAGUCUGUAAGGCUGACAGAAGAAUAAUAAAUAGAAGAUAGUAGAGUAAGUCAUUUAAUUUUUAAUGACAAUUUACUGAACAGGCAACAAAGACAUGCACAAGUAUACAAAUAUCCCCAGUACAUAUGAGGAAACAAACUAAAGAAGUCAACCCUGUUCAUGAAUUGCAAGUAUACAACAGUGCCCAUAUUUCAAGCAAUUUAGGUAACCACUAUAAAAGUACAAUCACAAAUAUUACACAGAAUAGAAAACCUACAGUUCCAGCACUUGAAUAAUGUGAGCCAUAAUGGAACUUUGGGAUGACUGGAUCAUCGAAGCUAGCAUAUCUCUCUUGGAAUUUCUUCAACCGAUCUGGAUUUAAUGCCCCUACAGGCUGCAAAUACACGUGAAGUUAUAAUGGCAGAAAAGGAAAGUGCAGAUAUAAAAUGCAGCAAGAUUAAAGUCAAACCACCUUUGAAAGAUCUCCGUAAGCUGAAGGAUCAGCAAGAUCCAAAAUCUUUGAACCGUAGUCAGAAAGAAUCCAUGGGAAUACUGGAUACUGUACGUAAAAAAGAAAAGAAGCGACAGAGACAGAAAAUGUAGCUUGGUUAUAUUAUCACAACACUGCCCCCAAAAAAGAGUGAUUAACCAUCAAAAUGCACUCUCAUAAACAAUCUAACUUGAGUUACGUCACUAUAACUACGCCCAGCCAAUGUAUUUAGCUGCAUUAAAUAUUCAAAAUUGCUGAUCUGCAGAGAGGUAUAAUUCUGUCAGUAAUUAUGCUACUUAUUUAUUACAUGUGAAUUAUAUAUAUACUGUAACUCAUACCUCCCACCUAGCCCAGCGCUCCAUUAACUGAGUUCUUUUCAGGAGCUGAUCAGGUCGCUGCAGCAGAAAACAAUAUAAUGUAAGUUCAGGAAUGUCAAUAGGAAAUGAAUCCUUGUAAACAGCUGCUAACAUACUCUCCCUUAGGUACCUUAUAAUGAACCCAAUUUUAUAAACGUAAAAUAUCCAUAAAUUUUCCACUCUUCUCCUUUUAAAUAAAAAAGAUAUUGUCGAUGCGUGUAAAUUCAUGCACGCUAGGCCUCUCUAAUUUAAAAUUUUCCAAGCAAAGUGCAAACCUGAGUUGCAAGAUAAAUGUUGUUCAAAUGAGGAGGUCGUGCUUGAACAAUAGCUCGGUAGGCAUUUCUUCGGCCUUCAGAACUCUGGAUCAAUUAUUAUUUUUUAAUGAAAGAGAAAAAAAGAAACAAAAAAUAAAGCGAACGUUUCAAGUAAGAGGUACAUACAGUGGGUCAACAACCAUCACAAGCAUACCUCUUUUAAUCACAAAGAAAUAAAUUUAGGCGUAUCUAAUAGGAACAUACCCCGAAAUCAAAGAAGAAGUUCGAACGGUCAACCAUAAACAGCUCCAGGGCACUUCUUCUUAGGAGAUAUCUAUGGUCAAGAAAAAACAGCAAAUGAGGUGCAACAGCAGAUGCUAAAGCAAAAGCAAUAUUGGGUGACAAAAAGUUAAAACUCUUCAAAUGCAGCAACAAGAAAUAUCAUGUUAUGGAUUUCUAUGCAGAACAAAUAUCUCUCUACACUCCUGGUAAUAUUAAUAUAAGCAGUAAGCACACAGAGACGAGACCUGAAAUUCACUCUAUAUUUUACUGGAUUUUACAGUCAAAGAACAUCCUGAUCUGUAGGUCAUACCCAACUAUCGCAGUAUAGUGUGGAGACAUUCACAUUAAAAUGUUUAGAAUAUGGAGGAAUUUCUAGACAACUGCAGGUUGUUAAUAGGCACUAUGAGAUGCAGAAAUAAAGGCCCCUAAAAUGCUAGCGGACAUCUUUUUCUCAUUCCAUGUCCUAGGCAAGCGUCUUGUUUCAAAUAUGUGCCUACCUGCAUGUUAAUAUGAAAUCAAGGAUGGUUGGCAGUAUCUAGACAUAUUUUGUCUGACAAUGAUGAUCAAUCCAACUACUUGGAAUGUUAAAUAACAAAGUUGUAGCUGAAAGCCAAUAAGGAUGCUCAAAUUUUUUAAAAGCCGGUAUGAACAAAAAUGAGAUUUUUCAACCAGAAAGAUGGCUCAAGGACGGAGUUUUUCAAUCCGAAUCGCCUUUCAAAUUCAUAUAAUUUCAUGUUCGUAUUGUUUAUUCUUAAUUUUCUUAAUGAAUACAUAUAGUUAUGCAUAUAGUAAUUUGCUAACUUUAAUAAUUUUGCUUUUGGUUUUGGCAUUAUUUCCAGGCGGGUCUUCGAAUGUGUUUAGGCAAGGAAUUUGCUUAUCGACAAAUGAAGAUAUUCGCAAUUGCACUAAUUCACUACUUCCGCUUCAAAUUAGCUUAUGAUACGAAAGAUGCAACUUAUAAAAGUAACAUUCACCAUUCACAUGAAAAGAGGCUUUUAUUUUUAUGCCGUUCUUAGAAUAACUUAACCCACUUCACAAACAUGAAAAAUAAAUUGUUCGUAAGAAAAUGUUCAACACUUGGUGGUUGAAAUAAGAUUAGUUCCAAGUUUGUGUAGCAUAAAAGCUGGAUUAUUUAAAUUCUAGUGGAGUUUGAUUUGCUUCUUUAGUGACAUGUUGAAUUUGUAAUACACUACAUCGAUUUGUGAAUUUAAAACUCGAACCAAGUUGGACUCGUAAUGGGCUUGGAAUUAAGGGUUGGACCAUGGAUCAUGAGUCCUAAUUGCUUAGAUCUUUCUUUAAUUUUCCCGCUGACGUGGAUUUUUUUUUUCCGUUUCUGCUAACACCUGAGCCCUGGCCCGUGGCCCCAUCAAUCACCAAGGCAGCCAUUGUGGUGGUAUGGCGUGCCACGGCUACAAGCAUAGCUAACUUUGAUCUCUUUUUUAUCCUUUACGCCGCGUAGGAAUCAGGAUAUCCUCCCGUAGGAGGAUUGUUUUGGCAGUUAGUUGACACUUGACAGCGAUUGGGACUGGGACCCCAAUCUCGCAACUUGUUAUGGCAACGAUAACUUGUUUCGUUGAAUCUAUGUGAACCAUAUAAAAAUUGUGACAAUUAAUGUGAUUGACAAGACACCGGAAUAAUUAAUAACAUUUGAUGGGAUCAUAGUUUUUCAGGUCUAUAUUUUUUUACAAAUUUAAUUAUUUCAUUUAUAUAUAAUUUUUCAUUUUUAAAAUUAUUAUUCUUCUUUUAUGAUUUUUUUAUCUCAUCAAAUUUCAUUAGAUUAAUUUUUUUAAAAAAAUAAAUUUAAAUGUUAAUAUUUUUAAAUGAUAUACUUUAAAAUACUUUUAUUUUAAAUUUCUUCAAAAUUUUAAAAUUUUUCAUCCAAAAUAUUUUAAAAUCUCCUCUUACCUUAAGACAACAGCAUAUAAAGCCUAUAAAUUGACUAUGUAAUCCUUUUUACCAUUUAAAAAUAAACGACGACUUAAAACAACAAUGCCGAGAGAAUGAAAUGUGCAUGGGGGAAGCCAAAUAGGAAAAUUUUUUGCAAAAUGUUAAGUCAUGCUUAACUUUUGAACUAACAUAAUUGUUAUGGUCAAAAUACAUGUGAAUAUAUAUAUAUAUACACCCAUACACGCUAAUGCUCUCUUUCAUGCUCCAAUUUUAAUUUUUUUGGCCAAACUUCAUUUUUUAAUUAAUUAAUCAUUAACAUUAUCUAUAAUGUACAAUAGAGCAUUAGGAUGGUUAUCUUGAGUAUAUCUUUUGCUUUUGCCGCAUAAUAUAUAUCCAUAUCUAUAAAGUUCAUAUGGUCCUUAUACAUAUAUAGUUAAAUAAUCAUAAUUUUUAUUGACCAAUUGAUAGAAUCUGCAGAAAAUAACAGAGUAGGAAGAGCAGAAAAGGCAAAGAAAGAGAGAGCAGAAAAGAGGGAAAGAUUGAUCAGAGAAUUUUUCUUGUUUGUUUUCAUUCCAUGGGCGUGCUAAAUGGCAUGCUACCAGCUAGUACAAGUAACGGUUUUCCCGGCAACCAUCUAGUUAUUGGUUUUAGUUAUCUAACUUCAUUCCUAUUUGUAACUUCUCAGGUUCAUGUCAGCAAUUUUCUUCCACACACUAAAGGCGAGAAUCCAUCCACACAUUCUCUUCCAAUUCAACAACCGUUCAAUAUGUUAAAGGAUAGUGAUUUCUAUUGUUUUAUACCAAUUUUUUUUUUACUCCGAUGGGUUCAUAAUGGUGCUUUCUCCCAUGUCUUUUCUAGUGUUGAUUGUAAUGCUAAUCCAUUUUAAAAUAAACAACGUGUGGAUUAUGGAGUUUUUGAUGUUGCAUAUUUGGUAUGAUAAUUGUCUAAAAUUUUGAAGCAAGAAAAUAUGGUGAUAGCAAUUUUAUAUGAAAACUCAUAUUGAUUCAAUGGCAACCGUACACGUGUAAAUACUUCGUUUUCCAAUUAAAUGAGAAAGAUCUUGAAGAUCAAACAGAUUGGAUUCUUGUGUAGAUAGAAAAUAAAUGGAACAUAGCUAAUUCAACAUUAUAUAGCUGUAGCUUAUAACCUCUCAGGGUAUUCAUCAGAAAAAAAAAUGGAUAUUCUAUCCACCAUAUUCUUCUUGAUAUUGUUUCCAACACUCAUUCUCUUUCUAAUCUUCUCUUUUCUUGCAAUCAAAAUCUUCACCGGAAAAUCCAUCAAUAAUCCUGACUAUCCACCGGUGAGGGGCAGUGUUUUCAACCAGCUUUUAUAUUUGAAGUAUCUUUAUGACUACCAAACCCAAGCUGCCAAGAAACAGCCUACUUACAGGCUACUUGCUUUUGCACAAAGUGAAGUAUACACGACCGAUACACGAAACGUAGAGCACAUAUUGAAGACCAACUUCGAUAAAUACACGAAGGGUAAAUAUAAUCAAGAAAUUUUGUCAGAUUUUUUGGGACAAGGGAUUUUUGCGGUGGAUGGAGAGAAGUGGAGACAGCAGCGGAAGCUUGCGAGCUUUGAGUUCUCGACAAGAGUUCUUAGAGAUUUUAGUUGCUCUGUUUUCAGAAAAAAUGCCGCCAAACUGGUUAGAGCUAUUUCAGAGCUGGCUGUGUCUGGUCAAGCUUUUGACAUGCAAGUGAGCAAAUUCGAAUCUCAAACUCAAAUGUUAAACUCUAAUUAAUACUCCAUUUUUUCAACAGUCAAAAGAAAAAAAAAAUCUGAAACCUGAAAUCAAAGAAUAUAUUGGAUGAGAAACCAGAUGGUUCAAGAUAGUAAAUGAUUUUAAUCCUAAUAGAACUUAAAAUUUUCGGUUUUUCAUACUCAUGACAUGUCUCCUAUUUGUAGAAUAUAUUAAUGAAAUGCACGCUGGAUUCGAUGUUCAAAGUUGGGUUUGGCAUAGAUUUAAAUUGCAUGGAUGGUUCAAGUAAAGAAGGGAAUAUAUUUAUGAAGGCUUUUGAUGAUGCCAAUGAAAUGGUGUACUGGCGCUAUGUUGACCCUUUUUGGAAGCUCAAAAGGUCCCUUAACAUUGGCUCUGAAGCCGCUCUCAAGAAGAAUAUCAAAGUCAUUGAUAAUUUUGUUGACAAUGUUAUUAGCACCAAGAGGAAACUACAGGCCAUGGAACGAGAUUUGGUAAGUCAUAUUUUGAUAUAAAUUUGUAGUUAAUAUUAUUCUGAUUUAUUUUAUGUAAAUUAAAAAAAAUUCUUUAUGGUCAAAUCUUAUUGUGAUAUGGUGGGAUUUGGGAGUCACAAUAUCCACUAGUUUUCAAUGCGGAAAUCUAAUCAUUAUAUAGCUUUUUUUAUUGUAUUUUUAAAAUCAGUAAUUCUCCUAAAAAUACAUAUAUAAUAUCAAAAUAAAUUAAUCACAAACCUGUUUCCUAAACAUAUAUAAACAUGGGUAGUUUUUAUUUUUUUUUGUUUCUAGAAUGUCAAAGAAGAUAUACUUUCAAGAUUUUUAGUGGAAAGCGAAAAGAAUCCAAAAACAAUGAAUGACAAAUACCUGAGGGAAAUAAUCCUCAACUUCAUAAUUGCCGGCAAAGACACUUCCGCGAGUACUUUGUCUUGGUUCUUCUAUAUGCUCAGCAAGAACCCUUUGAUACAAGAAAAAAUUGCACAAGAAGUGAUGGACAUCACUUGUGGUAAAGUAAAUGAUGACAAUGUUGAUGAUUUCGUUACGACCACAACCGAUGCAAACCUCGAGAAAAUGCACUAUCUUCAUGCUGCAAUAACAGAGACCUUAAGGCUGUACCCUGCAGUCCCCGUUGUAAGUUCCCUGAGAUUUUUAUUUUUUUUUGGUUGCUAAUUUCAAUAUUGAGUUACUUGUCAUACCACUAUAUUAUCCAAACAUUUUCCUUAGCAUUUAUGUAGAAAGUAGUUCUUUGAAACAAGUCCUAGCAUUUUAAUUGCUUCACUACCGGUGCUUCAAGGAUGGAAGAUGUGCAGAGGUGGAUGACAUGCUCCCCGAUGGCCACAAGAUCAAGAAAGGAGAUGGAGUAUACUACAUGGCCUAUGCCAUGGGUAGAAUGACUAACAUUUGGGGAGAAGAUGCUGACGAUUUUCGACCAGAAAGAUGGCUUAACAAUGGAGUUUUCCAGCCUGAAUCGCCUUUCAAAUUCGUAGCAUUUCAUGUUAGUAUUCUUUUUUCUACCAUGCAUGUAAAUAAUUGUCGAUCCAUUUUAAUUUUUUUUUUCUUGGCUGCUGCAUUAUUUCAGGCAGGUCCUCGAAUUUGCUUGGGCAAAGAUUUUGCUUACCGGCAGAUGAAGAUACUUUCAAUCGCCAUUCUUCGCUUCUUUCGCUUAAAAUUAGUUGAUGAUACGAAAAUUGUAAAUUACAGAACAAUGCUCACGCUUCAUAUGAAGGAGGGCCUCCAUCUUUACGCUGUUCCUAGGACAAUUACAUAAUAUUAAUUAUUAAUGUAGUAUUUUGUAAUAUUAUGUAAUUAUAUAUAUGGACACCUAAUUUUAUGAAUUACAAGUUAUAUGAAGGAGGGUCUCCGUUCUCUAAAGAAAUGAUAGACAUAAAAUAUCCUGAAUUUUAAAAUAGUCUAUUUGAUAAUUACCUAUUGAGUUAGUACCUUUGUCAUUUAUUAUUAUUAUUGUAUAUUAUAUUUAUAAGACUCUUUAUAGUAAAAUUUGAUGAAUUCAAAUUUUAAAAUAUUAUAAAUUAUUUAGAUAAUGAUAAAAAUAAAUAAUAUAAAGUUUUUUAGUUCAAUUGACAAUUAUCAAAAUAAAAAUUUUGAAUUCGAGUCUAAUCAAUAAUUAUUUGAUGAGAUUUUUUUAAAUGUACGAUUUUUAAUUAUUUAUUUUAAAAUUUUUAAUAUAAUACAUCUUAUUUUAAUUUAAAAGAUUAGGUAAUCUAUUUACUUUUGAUUUUUUUUUUAAAGAAACUUUUAAAUUUUAUAUUGAUAUGUAUAUUUAAUAAUUGUUUUUACUUUAAUGAAUAUAUAUUUAUUCAUAUAUCUAAGACCUUAUAAAAAUAAUAAAAAUAUCAAAGACCCUAUCAUUAACAAAAUCAUUUAGGGCAAACAAACAAUUGAAAUUGAAGUGAAAAAAAUGGCUUUGCAUGGAUAAACAACUAAAAUUGUAAAGAACUAAAAGUACAAGGAAAAUAAGUAACAAAUAAAUUUUAGGGAAUUAACAUGCAUGGCCAGGAAACUCUUGUUAAAAAUUUGAAAUAUGUAUAAAAAUACAUUGAUAAUAUAUUAAAUAUAAAUUUUAUUAUUAAUUAAUUUUGGAAAUUUAAUAAGUUAUUUUACUAAAAAUUUUCAGCUCUUUUUAUCAUAUAUAAAAUAAUCUUUGUAUGGCUAGCAAAGAGAAAGUUGGCUCUAAUCUAAUGGGAUUAUAUCCUUGUUUAAGUCUUAACUGCUAUUCCUUUUGUUUUGUUUAAUAUAUAAGAGAAAUUAUUUUAUUUGAUACAUUAUCAAUAAAAUUUUUUAAUUUCAUAAGUGAGAUUAAUAUGAUGAUAAUUAUUUUAUUUUUUAAUUAUUUUUUUUAAAUAUCGAUACAUGUCACUCUGUUAACUUUACUUGUGAAAUUAAAAAAAUUAUACUGAUAAUUUAUUUAAUAACUUCUAUGCAUAUAAACUUAAUUUAGGUAAAGAAAUUAUUUGAUGCAAUAAUAAUGAAAUUUUUUAAUUUCAUAAACGGAUUAAGAUGAUAAUACAUAAUUUUUUUAAAAAUAAUUUUUUACUUUUUUAAAUAUACAUUAAAGGACAUGUGUCCAAUUUUAAUCAUAUUUGCAAAGUUAAAAAAUUUUAUUAUCUGUAUAUUUAAUAAUUUUUUAUAAAAAUAUAUAUUUUAUUUUCUAAAAAAAUACCUUUAAUCCAUAAGUCCGCCUAUAGGACAUUAGGUAUGGAUUUUCGAAAGAACCCAACUCGAAUUGUUAUGUUAUUAAUACAAAUAUUUUUAUUUAAAUUUAAUUUUUAAAUAUAUUUUAAAAUAAUUUUUAAUAUUUAAUAUUAUUUCGACUAAUUAACCAGUCUAAUGAAUUCAAUAAUGGGUUGAGCCAGACCUUGGUCCUUGGACAUGGAAUUACAAAAUGUCAACUAAACCUAGACGAGCCCAAUUAGGCCCAUAAAGACCUCUAUGACUCCACGAGUAACUUGAUUCUUUUUAAUUAAUUAAGUCUUGCAAAAAAGGUGGGUCAUUCAAAAUCACAAAAAGAAGUCUUUCAUUUUAGAACAAACUGAAAAAUCCUUCAAAUAUUAAAGUAAAAUUCACGUGAAAGAAAACCGCCCUUUAAUGACUUUAUAUAUCCAUUAUAUCUAUAUCUAUAGCUAUGUAUAUAUAUAUAUAUAUAUUUUUUUUUUUUUUGUGUGUAUUAUUAUAAUAUUAAUACAAUAAGGCUUCGCUGAUCCUUUAACUAACGAACAUUCAUUGGCCAGCUUCCCUGUAAAUACACAAAAAAGGACCUCCAUUUCCGAGCAUUUCUCCAACCCAGUUACCUUGGCAGCUUUGGUUCUGAUCCUUUCUCUUUUCUCUGUCAAGUUCUUCACAGCAAAACUGAGAGACAAGCGGAGAAAGAACAAGUACCAUCCUGUUGGGGGUACGGUUUUUACCCAACUCCUCAACUUCAAUAGAUUGCAUCUUAUAUGACUGAUCUUGCAGGGAAGCAUAGAACCUACAGGCUGCUUACCCAUUUCAGGAAUGAGAUUUAUACCUCGGAACCAGCCAACGUUGAAUAUAUACUCAAAACAAACUUCGAGAAUUAUGGCAAGGUAUGUUACCAAUGCUCAUUUCUUACUUCAAAGUCACAAAUUAUUCGUUGCCCUCGAAAAUUUGAGCUCUUCCGGUGCUUGGUUAGAAGAAUUAGCUUACUUACUAAUUAGACAGAGACACUCAGACUAAGAUUAAGUCAAUUACAGUUCAUUCAAAUGCUGAUGUGCUGCAAAGUAAUUAGCGUUAGAAAAAAUAAAUGAGAAGAUAAAUAAUAAAAAAAAAUAGUUUUGAGACAUGAAAAAUAUUUUUUUAAAGAUAAUUAUGUCUUUAAAAUACAAUAAAAUUUCAAACUCUCUAAUCAAAAGCAGUAAAAAUAAUUAUACUGAAAGACUUAAUUAUAAUGAAUGAACAAAUAUAAACUUCUAUUCAAAUGGUUAUGAACUUUUAUAUAAUCAUGACUUUUAUAAAUAAAAAUAUAUUUAUAUUUAAAUAGUUAAAAUCAUUUGUUAUAUGAUAAUUAUUUCUGUUCAAAUAUAAUUAUUUAAAAUAAAAAUAAAAUUAAUACAAAUAUUAAUUUUAUUUAUCAAUAAUUAAAUCUUUCUGUUCACUGUGAAAUGCAUCAUAUUUUAAAUUACCAAUAAUCAUCUACUAGUUUGAAAUGUUGGUGCUUAAUUUUUAUAUUUCACACAAAUAAAUAUUAUGAAUAUAAAAAAUUAUCUCUCGAUUUAAACAUUCAAUUAACGUAUAUAUCUUAGAAUUCUAACGAAGUUGAUAGUAUCCGUAGAUUAAAUCUCAAUUCUAGUGUUAUAAUUGAAGAUAUAACAUACAUAAUACUUAUUUAUUUUUUUGUCUGAGGUUUAUAACCGCUUUUAGCAUUAUUAUGAUCAUGUGCUUAUCUUAUUAAUAAACAUUUAUAAAAGAAAUUUCUAAUUCUUCUUGUUGAAGCGACACCACUUCUAUGUUUAUAUUGGUAGAGUUUUCUAUUAUGUCUCUAUUACUUUAGACAUUUGAAACUCCAUUAAGAGUAUCAAACUCAUCCUCCCUAUGUAAUGGAUCACACUAAUUUCUAAAAUUUAAAUAGAUUUUAUUAGUGUUUAACAGACACAUAACAGUAAUUUUUUUUUUCAUUAAACUUUGUAAUUAGAGGUUACUAAUUCAAAGUUGAGUUUCCAUUAUUGAUGUCUAAUAGUAAAAAUUUAAAUCUAUUCUACUUGUAUUACUACUAAAUAAAUAUUUUAGAAUUCAGUUUUUUUUUAUGUCACUUAAAUUGAAUCUAUAAUAUAAUCACUUCAGAUUAAUAUAUCCAAAUUUUUCAUUUUAUAUAUUAUUUAUAUGCUCUAAAUAUUGUUGCCUCAUUUUUAUUAUUUUAAGAAAUAGUUGAUUUUGGUUGUGAGACCACAACCUUAUAUUUAUUAAUUUGAACCAUUUUAUUUUCAUACUUUUAUACAUUUUUAGUACAAUUGGUUAAAUUUAACGAAUAAACCAAACGAUUUUAGUCAUUUUAAAAAAUUUUAAAGACCUUUUUAUAACUUUAAUAAAUGUUUAAACUUAUUAGCUUGUAUAAUUUGCUCAUAAAAUUAUACUACAAUCUUACAACACUAUGGUGAUAAUUUUUAUUUUUUUUUAUUCUUAUCACCGCCACUAUGUGUAAAUAUGCAUUCUUUUAUUAAAUAAUAUCUCAUUCAAUUAUUAAAAUAUCAUAUAUACUUAAUCAAAUUACCAUUCCAUUUAUCUUUUCACUAUUUUAUGGUUUUUUUUUUUUUAAUAAAAAGCUUCCAAAUUUACCUUUAUGAAAAAUAACUAGCUGAUAUCUUAAUAUUUCAAUAAAAGUUUUAAAACUUUUAUAUUUUAACUUAAUAUAAGAGUUUACAUUAAUAAGCAGAUUUCAAAUAUAAUCACAUUUCUAUAGUUUUCUUUUAAGACUUUUAUAUUAAUUUAUAAAUAUUUAUAUGAAUCUAUUUCAUCAUUGACACUAUUAAUAAUUUUUUAUUACCAUGAACAAAACUAUUUCCAUUAUCCAAAUGGAUCUACUAGCAUUCUUUUUGCUAUUAUAAAAGUUUUUAAAUUCAUAAGAUCUUUGAAUCAAUCAUGGCUUCUAAAAUAAAUAUACUUUAAAAUUUUCACUAUAUAAAACUAUAGAUGAUAAAUCAUUUAUACAAUCCAUGAAUUAGACCAUAUACAUAACAAAAAAUUACCAUAACGUGAUAAAGAUUGUGGCAUCAAUUUUGGCUUAUAGCUAUUCUAAGCCAACCAUAAUAAUCUACCUCAUGCCUACAAAUCAUGUAGAUUUGACUAUUGAAGUUACCUUAUUUAUAAUGAUAGCUUUUAGUGAAAAUCAAUUAUCUCAAAUAUUAUUAUGAGUUUUCAAUGCAUAUUGUACUUGCCCAAUGGCCAAUUCCAUGUUCAUGAUGAUUGAAACCUCUAAAUUUGAUUUUAAAAUUUUAUGAAAACUUUAUUUCUUUACCAUUGUGUAGCUUAGAUAUCUCUGUUAUUAUCACUUUUAAUUGGUCAUAAUAUUUUUAGAUAUAUAAUAAAUUCAAAUUUUACUCAUAGAACUAAUAUGCCGAUAAACAAUAAGAAUCCAUAGUAUAUUUAACUCCAAUUUCAAAUACUUUUACAAUCAUUUUUUGAUCAAUAUGUUCAUAUCUAGAUCACCAUAUCAAUGCAAGUCAUGAAACAUGAAUCCAAAGAAUCAUUUUCAUAAAAUAAUAUAAACAAUAAUUAUAAUAUGAGUUAUAUUCAUAUUUCAUGCAAAAUUUUUUGAUGAAUUUGCAUUAGUUGAAUCAUUGAUUGGCUAAUUCUAGGGCUUACGAUUUUCACAAACCAAUAUUAUUAUUUAAACAUAUAUGUUAAUAUGGUAUAUAACUAGUUAUAUCCUUACUAUUAAUGAAACUAUUGAAAACCUAGGAAACUUGUUCACUUUUCAUUUUAACUGCUUGCAAAAAGCUAUUUUUUCGAGUACAAGAAGCAAAAAUACAUUCAUUGUCUUUAACCAAUAAUGUAUUAAUUGGUUGAUGGUAUUCUAUCUCCAUAGUCUAUAUCUUUCUUAUAUGUAUAAGAAAGAAAAUUUCAUCACAUUCAGUUUAUUUUUGUAAUAUAUGGUAAACUGUACUAAUAUUCUUCAUGCCAUCACAAAAUGGAAUUAAACACAUGUAUGUAUUGGUGUCUUUGGAACAUUGAAUUUUCAUAUUCUUUUUUAAUUUAUAAACAUGCCUUAUUAGACAUUGAUAACCAUUAUUCAAAAUGCUAGAAACCAACAAAUGCUUCAAAAUUUUUUAAUGACAUGCUUUUUCAUUUAAUCAAUAUCCCAUAUGCAAAAAAGCAACAAUGCUUUUUAUUUUUAACCAUUAAGUAACUUUUUGAAGGUUUUUUAUGAUUUUCAUUUUGUGAUUGUUCAUAAUAAAAUUUUAUUUUGUAAAACCACUUCUAGUGUAAUACACCUAGCAUGCAAAAUAUGUCACACUACUCAUGUUUCUGAUAAUAAUCAUUAUUUGGUUUAUUAUCCACCAAUUAAUUCAUGAAACACCAUAUCUUAAUAAUAAUUAUUCACAUAUAUUAAUUUAAUUUUAAUUGGUUUUCAUGAAAAUUAAACACUAAUCAAAAUUAGAACCAAUAAUAAAUUUUAAAUAUAUAUAUAUCAACAUUUUAUUUAUAAAUGACCAACAAAGAUAGAAUCAUAUAAAUAGCUUAACUCAACUUAUUAUCUCAAUUUUGGUGCCAUGAUUUAAUAAUAAAAUUAAUCCUAUAUCCAAAUCUUAUUUUCUGCGUAUAUUUUCUAUUUGCAUCUAAUUUCUCAUAGUAAAUUUCUUUACCCAUUUCUAAUUAUUUUCAUAGAAACUGUGGGACAAUUUGCUUAUUCUAUAUAUAACCAAGACAUGAUAAUUAAACAAUCGACCAUUCCAUUGGAACCUAAUUUAAUUCAUUACUUGAUAACAAGUAAUAAUUUUUUUUUGUCAUAAAUCAAUUUGUCUUUUUCUUUUAUGUUUUUAGGCUAUUUUUCAUCUUAGUUUUUAUAAGCAUCGAUUUUUCAAAUAAAUAUUAUACAAUUUAUUAAAUCCAAUUGUGGAGUCAAUUUCAGUAUAUACAUAAACUUAUGCAAUGUAAUCAAUAUUUUGCAUAUUGUUUUGACUUUACACACUAAUGAAAUAAAUUGUUAACGUGUUUAUCUCAUUCAGUUAAUAUUUUUACCAACAAUUAUGUAAAAAAUAAAAUGCAUGCCUCUAAUGAAGAUCUUUAUGAAAUUUAACAUUUUAGACCAUAGAAACAUUAAUCCUUUGACACUUUGAACCUUCUCUAAUAGUGAUAUCCAAAUCAUGUCAAUUUCCUUUUCUUAUAUUGUUCUCAUGCGAAAUAUAAAUUUCUCAUAAUUAUCUUUAAAUUGUUAAAAAAAUAACUAAAAAAAGAUAAAUAAUAGAAAAGAAUUUUGAUUUUAAGGUGUAAAAAAUACUUUAUUAAAGGCAAUUAUGCUUUUAGGAUAUAAUAAAGUUUCAAACUCUUCAAUUAGAAGUAAUGAAAAUAGUUAUACUGAAAGAUUUAUUUAUAAUGAAUACAUAGACAUAAACUUCUAUUCAGAUAGUUAUGAUUUUCUGUAUAAUCAUAACUUUUAUGAAUAAUAAUUUAUUUAUAUUUAAAUAGUUAUAACAAUUUGUCAUACGAUAGUUAUUUAUAUUCAAACAUAAUUAUUUAAAUAUAAACAAAAUUAAUACAAAAGUUAAUUUUAUUCAUUAAUAAUUAAAUAUUUCUAUCUAAUGUGGGAUACACUAUAUUCUAAACUACCGACAAUUAACACUAUAAUGAAAGGGCUUUUUAAUAUGAUAUGGUUACCAAAAAGGAUGAAUUGUGGUUUUUAUAGUUCUUCAAUUUGCCUAAUUUUCUGUGCAGGGUCAGUAUAAUUACAGCUUGCUAAAGGAUUUACUAGGUGAUGGAAUUUUUACCGUCGAUGGCGAUAAGUGGCGUCAGCAGAGGAAGGUAUCAAGCUAUGAGUUCUCAACAAAGGUCUUGAGGGAUUUUAGCAGUGUUGUUUUUCGGAAAAAAGUGGCAAAACUUGCAACUAUAGUGUCCGAGUCAGCAAAUUCAAAUGAGAUAAUGGAUAUUCAAGUAAGUAAACCUACUGGGAAAGAUCAAUGAUAUGAUAUAUAAAAUGAAUCCGUUAUAACACUAUUCUGCAGGAUUUGUUUAUGAAAUCGACUUUAGAUUCAAUAUUCAAAGUUGCAUUUGGAGUUGAACCGAACAGCAUGUGUGGAUCAAAUGUAGAAGGCAAGGAGUUUACAACUGCUUUUGAUGAUUCAAGUGCUGCAAUCCUUUUUCGAUAUGUUGAUAUCUUCUGGAAGAUCAAGAAAUUUCUGAAUAUUGGAUCAGAAGCCACGCUAAAAAGAAGUGUAAAAGUGAUUAAUAAUUUUGUGUAUAAGCUGAUCCAUAACAAGAUUGGGAAAAAACAACUCAAAAGAUGAUUCUUCAGUAAGUCAACUAGAGCCACUUGAGCGUUUAUAAGACCUGUUGAAGUAGAAUUUUGAAACAAUUGCAUUCCAUGGAUCAUGCAGAUAAAAAAGGAAGACAUUUUAUCAAGAUUUCUCCAAGUGAGUGACACUGAUCCAACAUACUUGCGAGAUAUAAAUCUUAACUUCAUAAUUGCCGGCAAAGACACGACCGCAGUUGCUCUGUCGUGGUUUAUAUACAUGCUUUGCGAGCAUCCUGAUGUUCAAGAAAAGAUUGCAAAAGAAGUGAAGGAAGCAACUAACAUGAAGGAGGUUGAAGAUUUUGCUGAAUUUGCUAUUAGCAUGAGCGAAGAAGCUUUAGAAAAAAUGCACUAUCUCCAUGCGGCUAUAACAGAAACUUUAAGGCUCUACCCUUCAGUUCCAGUGGUAAGGAAAUUUGCCUCGAAUCCUGAAUACUCCCACGGAACUUCUUAAUGCAUGUCUGGAAAACAAUUCUGUGAACUCAUAAUGCAUAAGAGGACUAGAAAUUAGCUUCCUUGCUAUGUUCUGGGGUUUGCUUUGGUUCUCACUAUCUUUUCCCUUCAAUUGCAGGAUGCAAAGAUAUGCUUGUCUGAUGAUACUCUACCAGAUGGGUUCAGUGUGAGGAAAGGGGAUAUGGUUUGUUAUCAACCUUAUGCAAUGGGCAGAAUGAAGUUCAUUUGGGGUGAUGAUGCAGAGGAGUUCAGACCAGAGAGAUGGCUUGAUGAGGUUGGCAUGUUCCGACAAGAGAGCCCUUUCAAGUUUACAGCAUUCCAGGUAUGCAAAAUGUGUCAGCGCUUCAGGAAUUGUUCUAUGCUUCAAGCGCUAUUGUUGUGAUUGACAUUUGGUGUAAAGUAACACCUCAUAAAAAAAAAAGGGAGAAAGAAAGCAGUUUAACAGCAUUUGAUUUCUGGGCCUUGGCCCUCAAAAUUCAAAGUUCUGAUAUUACUUCACAAGUGUGAUUUUGCGGCCUGAAGAAGUGAGAAUACUGAACUUUGUUUUCUAUUGGUUAACAGGCGGGUCCUCCAAUUUGUCUGGGUAAGGAAUUUGCUCCUAGGCAGAUGAAGAUCUUCUCAGCUGUUCUUAUACGCUGCUUUGUGUUUAAAUUGAGUGACGAGAAUAGAACUGUCACCUACAGGACGAUGAUCAAUCUUCAUGUAGAUGGGGGCCUUCAUGUUCGUGCAUUUCACAGAAGUCAGAGUUAACUUGGUCUUCAUUGCUUAUUUGACCAAGGGUUUCAUCUUUUGGCUCUGUUCUUUAAUCCAGGCACUUGCACGCUUUAAAUAUUCGUGUAUACUAGUGUGUGUGUGUGUGUGUUUAUACACACAAGCAUAAAUAAUACGAUGGUUCCUUACCAAGGAAACUUGAACCGUACUUUUGUCUGAAAAAUUUUGAGUUCAGAAAACUGCUAAAUGAGUGAAACCUAAGUUGUUGAGACAACACUUGAAAAGUUCAUCAAAAUAGACCAUACCUGAAUGACCUGAGUUCAAAUUCUUUGCUCGCAUUUCUAGCAGAAUAUUCCAAUGAAUUGAAAAUCGUGAUGAAUGCAAAACUUAGGAAAUAGCAAUUCAGUUCUUCUCCCCUGCCUUCUAGCAGGGUCUUCAGCUCCUCUUAACUCUAGAAGUGUGAAAGAUUAAGUUUCCUUGAAUGCAAAACUUAAUCAUCUUAAUAACACUCAUGAGUAGGAAAUGAAUCCUCUGAUGUUCUAAAUUCAAUUUAAGAAAAAAGUAAAUAGCCAUAUGCAUGCUAUGAGUUGAUUAUGGGAUGUCUAUUGUUACAAUUCAACAAAAAUUAAGGACAUCAAUUUUCUCCAACAAAAUUGGUUCACACUAAACAGCAGGAUAAUCACUCAUUCAAGUGGACACCAUAUAGCUCAGGCAAGCAGAAACAAAUUAACAAUGUCAAUUGAAGCUUACACUCGAAAUAGAAAUAGUCUUCAAUGACUAUCAUGUAGUCGCAGGAGGUAGUUGAGGUGCCCCUGGUCUUGAGGUCCAUCCUUUGCGAUUCCUGUAGGCCUCAAUAGCCUGUAACCUUAGCCUCUCCUUGGAAGCAUCUAGUAAGAUCUUGGAUCCCUGUAAAAGAUAAAAACCCCUGUUUGAGAGAAGUACUAGCAUAAUCUUUAAUGUAAAUAUCAAAUGAUAAAAGAUUACCUUGGGUACUGUAACCAACUUCAAUGGAGCUUCAACCACAUCUCCAAAUUUUAUGUUCUCUCUUCCAGGAAAGUCCAAGUUCUCUUCUGUUCUAGCAUUCUUAUGCUUUUUCUUCUUUGCUUCAAAACACCUAUACACAGAUUAAAAUCCGGUCAAGUACAUGCAAAAAGUAAGAGUAAUAUAAGCAGGAAAAAUCAUACUUAUUCACAAUUCAGCAGAUAAUUUAUCAUUUACAAUGUGGGAUAAUAUACUCACAGCAACAAAGUAUUGUCAACCACGGUGCCAAACAACAAGGGCAUAGAGUAUUCAUAUAAAAUACUGGCCUUUUUUUUUUUUUCUGACUUUUACAUUUAUAAACCACUCAGAAUAAAAAUCUUGAUCCCAGCCACCGCCCACAGGUACAUAGCUUCAUCUUCCGUUUAGAGCAACAUUUUCAUGUUAUACAAUCACAUAAAUUUGAUCAAAUACUAGACUAGAUGUAAUGUUAUCAUAAGUUUUUUUAUUCAAAACCAUGCUAAAUGCAGACAGACGCCACUCCUGAAACCAAUUAAUUGCCAAUUAAGAUAGGAAAAAGAGAAGGAAAGAUUACUUUUUCUUGCGUUCCCGUCGUUUAGAACUGCCGCCUAACUUAUCCAACGUUGUUUCAAACCGGAGGUCGGUUACUUGCUUCCUCUUUCUUUUCUUGUUUUUCUUUCCAUCUUUAUUAUUCUGCAUAGUUUCUUCCUCGCUAUCUGAGUGUUGAUGCUUAUCUUCACUUCCAUCUUUGAUCUCAUUAGCUUUUAACUUAAUUUCAUUCUCCUUUGGGUCUUUCUGCGUAAUAAAUUACAGUACUUGAAUUUAAAUCAAGCAACUUCAGCUUAAAACAGAGCAUAACCAGUUAAUGAUAAUUACUUACUUUUUUCUCAUUAUCUCUGUCUGCUGCUUUUCGUUCCUUUUUUGAAACCUUUGCAGAAUCUAUAAAAAGAGCAUGAAGCGAUUAAUAAGUGGAAAGAAAGAAAGGAAAAAACUAAUAAUAAAAAAAAAAAAGAAAGAAAAACCGAUGAAAGGAACAUUGAGAAGAAUCGGCGGUGAAGGACAUGAUUUUGCGCAGUUUAGAAGGUAAAGCUUCGACUUGAGAGGGAUCAGGAGGCGGCGGGAGUCUGGCAGGACCACCAUGAGCAGCUCUAUAAUUCUUCUCUCUCCUCCUCCUUCCUUUGCCGCCCAUGUUUUUUUCCCUUACAAAUCUAUAGAAACUGAUAGAAGAGAACCCUAAUUCUCACCGCACUGGUUUUUUUGAUGAUUCUCACUUGCAGACUGGUUCUCCAAGCGGUUACGUCGUGAGGGCGAGGCGGUGGGAGGACAACCCAGAAAAACCCCCCUCCUUCAAAAUUAUUAAACCCAAAAUCGCCCAGAAUAGCCCAUACCCAUUUUUCUCUAGGGCCGAAAUUGGGCAGGGCAGUUUUAAUCCUUUUUAUUAAUAAUAAAUUGUCCUUCUGAAUUUUGUUAACUAUUUUUGUUUUUUUCUAGAAAAGAGUUUAGUGUGUUAGGAAAAAUAAAUAAUCUAUGAUAUUAUUUUUUUAUUUUUCUAUAAGAGAUAAUAAUCUUAUAAAAGAACGUAUUUAUAGUUAGAAUUGAAACCGGAAUACAAGAAAAUUUAAUUAAUAUAUGAGAAUUUAAUUAAAUAAUAAGAAAAUUUAAAACAAUAUUCUAACUAAACAUUUGCAUCCUUUUUCUAAUGUUUUUCAUUAACAAUAUUCUAUUACUCUAUGAUUCUCAGAAUUGGCAAUUACACGCUUUUAGAAAAUUGAAUCAAAUAUAUAUAUAUAUACAUCAAACGAGUUUAUAUUUGAUUGUUUUCUUUGAGACCGGAGUACUGGACUGGAUCGUUACUUGAAAGAAGAAAUUUCAAAAGGCGAAAGAAAGGAGGGAAUUGGCUGUCCGAUUUUCACUCUAUUUAAAAAUAAUAAUAAUAAUAAUAUGAAGAUCUCAAGCCUCGGAGUAGCUCAUCAAUCACAAUGGUAAGAAACUUACCUAAUCAAAUAAAAAAAUCUGACUAACAACCCUGCCUUUAAUCACAUAUAGGGUUGCUUCACUAGUGAAUUACAUACCUAUAUUUUACAUACACGAAGGCAGCUGACGCCGUAAGUCGUGUUAUUGACGUGAUUUCUUCUUUCUCAAGGCAAACACCAUGCUCUUAUAUUAUUGACCCUGCUGGCAUCAAUGGUGCAUCUUCUACAAUCGUUCUCUAACUAAUCAAAAUUCAAAGGCUGAACUCAAGACUACGACUUUAUAAGAGGGCUCAGCCCUUCACCUUCCCAACCAAGCUUAAGCAUCUGAUCCACCACUUUCAAGCUCAACUGUAGAUAUCAAGGCCGUAAUAAGAUUUAGUUCAACAUCCAAUAAAACAACAUAAAUUCAAUGAUUUUGGUUGACACUAUAUAUUAAAAUGUUCACGAGAAAUAAAUCAAUAAGAUGCUAUCCAUUGAGCAAUGCCAAGACAGGAGAAUGAGUAAUUAUUGAUAUUUAGACUAAAUGAUUGAUGGAGAAUCAAGAAAUGGAAAAAAAAAUUAGUCUAACUUACGGCUGGAUCCGUGAAAAUUAUCAGCUGCUUAUCUGCAGUUGACACCAGAAGAUUUGUGUUAUCCUUGUUCAAAGCAAGAGCUGUAAUAUCCUGUCCUUCUCCCAGUUGCAACACAUGGAACAGCUGCAAAUGAAAGAUUUUAACCAGGUAACUGUUUCAGCAAAACGACAUGUGUUCAUGAUGCGUGAGUGUCUACCAUGCUCAUUGCAAUCAAAAGGUAAAUAAAUAAAAAAAAAAAGUGACGGAAAAGCAACCCAUUCUUUCUCUAACACAUAUGUGAGACAAAUGGGAAACUACAAAGUAGGCCUGCCAUAUUAAAUGAAAAUUUUCUUCUAAACAUUGGGUGGCAUGGCAUAGAAAAGGAGAAAUUCAAAGCAGUUCAGAACAACCCACCCCUACCCCAGAGAUAGAAAGAGAGAUUUAACCUCCCCAGGGCACCUUUGAAUAGGUGGCACCUAAGAACAAAAUUAAUGCAAGCUGAAGCAACAAGUAUGGCCGCACUCAUUAUGUACAGGAGGUGCAGAUAGGGCACAAUAGCAUCUGUCUAAACAUUUUCUUAUACCUUCAGAGUAUGCAGAUCCAAAAAGCAAAUUGAAGGUGAUGGAAUAUCCAAUCUGUUGCUUUCGCUGAUUUCUUCUGAAUCAAGAUCAAAAUCAUCAACCACAGGUUUCUUCAAACUCAAGUCUCGGUUGUUAUUGCACACUCCGUUGUUGCCCAAAGAUGAGUUCACUCCAAUUAAAGCACUCAUACCAUCCACAGAGAUUUCCAUGCAGCUGACACCACUCAUGGAAGGAAGUUGCACUCUUGCAAUUGAAACCCCAUUGAGUGUGAAUGUGCUGAGAGUAUGUUGCAAUUGAUUCCACGUUAAAAUGAUUCCCUCAGAUGAAAGGCAGACAGCAUCAGCUUCCACGCUGGCAAACCGUCUCAUCAAGCGACCCCUUCUUAUGGAAUGCAAGAGAACAUCUGAUGAACGGCCACAUGAAACAACAAUACCUAGGUCUGAACUGACACAGCAACAAAGAAUUUCCCUGUGGUGACCACGAAGGACAUGUACAGGACCUUCUAUUUGACGCAUCCUGCUUUUGUCUGCCAAGGUGUUAGCAAAAGUACCACUACUAGUUGAAGUUGGUGUGCCAGUGCCAGCGGUUGGUUCUGAUGUGCUGCUUGAACGGGAUGUAAAUGCCCUAUGUAUCCUCCAAAGUAAUACAGUAGUGUCCUGGGAUCCAGUCACGAGAUAGUUGCUAUCUGGCGAUAGAGCAAGGCAAGUGACAGGAGCACAGUGUCCAAAAGCAGUUUCUAGUGUUUUUGCUCCAUCAGAUGACAGUAGCUUGAUACUGUUAUCCGCAUGUCCACCUAGUUAAAAUCCAGAAACACAUAAGGAGAUACUAUAACACAAGAAACGGAGAUAUUAAUGCCGGCUGUUGGAUUCAAAUACACAUGACUAUAUCUAUGACACUGAAAAUUGAGCUUCAAAAUUAUAAGUCCCUGGCUGCUACACAUUUUAUAAACAAUGGUCGAGCAGCCAAGCAAAAUUGAAAAGUAAAGGGGGUGCAGGAGCUAUGAUGGCAAUUUCAAGAGAAGAAGGAUAGUCAAAUUACUUUAUUCCAUGAUAGAUCUGUAAAUUAUUCAACCUUUUUAAAUAUAUUCCAUUGGCCCACUAAGAAGUGAUUGUUAUAUUUUUUUUUAACCAAUUCUUCACCCUGAAUAUUUAAAUUUGAACAGCAUCAGCUGAUCUUGUAAGUUCAGAAGAUUAGACACUGAAACUGUCAUCAUCAUCAUAAAACGUAGUUGUCCAGCAGCAUUCCACUGCUAUGUCCUUUCCAAAUAAUGGCUACCAGGAUCAAAGGAAGGAUUCUAUGUGAUAAAGAAAUAAAAGAUUACAUUUUCUGAUUUUAAGGCUCAUGUGUGAGUAAGUUUACCAGAGAAAUCAAAUUUACCUAAAAUUUUAGUCAGCCAAACAAUAUUAGGAAUUAAUAGGUUACCUGUGAUUAUUUCUUUAUCACAUGUGAUGGAAACAAUAGAUGAGCUUCUGAUCCCAGAUGAAGCAAAUGCUAGUGCCUGGGGAAACUGCCACUCAUCAGAACCAGAGCCAGCUGGCCCUUUGAACAUUCUUAUAAGUGCUCCACCAGCAGAACUUGCUGUUGCCUUUCCAUGUUGAAAUAGAAAUGGUGAUCCCUGACCAUCGGGAGUGUUUGGCUGCCACUUGUGCUGCGCAAUAUGAGCUGCUGGCGCAUUUGUGUCAACAAUUAUGACAGCAUCUGAAGAAGCAUGAAUAGCAGCUGCAGGCAAAUUGCAGCGUUCAGGUCCUGGGACAGCAUAUGGCUUGACUUCUCUUGGGUUCCGAAAGAUUGUCUGACAUUAAAAGUUAAUAAGAUUCAGUUUUAACAUAUUCAUUUUCACAGAAAAGAUUUUCAUUAUGGAAAGAAACUUAUUAGAUCACAUGAGAAGUAAUUGCAGAUGAAAGUUAUAUAACACUGCAUCAAUUGUUAAAAACAGAAAGGCCGAAAAAUUGGUACCUGCAAACGAAGAACCUCUGAAAGUGGCAUCCUGUUCAUGUGAGGGACAGUAAGAAGUUGGGAUGGAGUUUGUCCAAAAUAAGCAAUCUGGUCUUGCGUAGCAUGCUGUUGUACCUUUUAUUUGUAUACAAAUGAAAGACAAUAAAGAAGACUUUCCAGAUAGAGCAGAUAAUAGGGAAAAAAAAAAAAAGCAAAUCAAACUUACUGGAUCAGAGAUCUUAUCAAUAUCAACCGUCCCUUCAUAUGUAAUGUAAAAGAACAUGUUAUUUGCCAAUAUAGCUUCUUUGCCUCGUUGCUUAUACCUAAACAUUCCAAUUCACUCAUAUAAAUUCUGGUAAACUCUAGGUUGCUUUGAACAAGAAUAUCCAUGAGCAAUUAUAUUAUUAAAAAGAAUAUCAUAGGGAAGAUUACAAAGGAAAAGGAAACCGCAAUUUUUCUUUAGGAAAGGGGAGAAAGUAAAAGAAAAUGUACCCAAAUAUGAGGUCAAUCCAUUCAUGCAAAUGUGCAGAUACAUGCUCACUCUCAAGAGCCAUCCGAUGUUUAUGAAUAAAAUCAACUGGGUUUUGAGCCCAUGGUGGGAGUUUGACAGAAUCUGCAUAUUGAAAAAAAAUAAGAACUCAAUGCAACUGGAAUUUAUUUCUCAUAAGACAAAGGAAAGAGGAUACUCAGUUACAUACCAAGCUUUCCUCCUAAUUGUGUUGUUCCAAAGUCAAUUGAAUUUUCAUUGGUUAACAUCUCAGGAAGGUAAAACAGCUCGGGAACCUAACAUAAACAAAAUAAAAUAAAUGCAAAUGAAAGAAAAAAUUUCUGAUAAUCUAUGGAAGUACAAAUGCAGCCAUAAGUUAUAAACAAGAUGAGACAAGCAACAAUGACAGGGCACAAGAUAAAAGUGUGCUUCAUUCUUUCCAUAUGAGAAGUUUGAAGUUCUCAUGCUAAAGAUAAAACAAAAAACAAUACCAAUUCCUUCACAUCACUCAUGUCCUCAAGAACUCCAUUCCAAGUAGCAGCAACAUCUGAAAACAUCCGGUCUGCGUGAUCAAAUUUUCCACCUUGCAGCUGAAUUGAAAGAGUUGUAAAUGGCUCAACUCUAACAAGAUAAUACAAUAUCUGCAAGAAAACACCAGAUACAACAAAGAAGUUAUAAUAAAGAAUCUGAAUUUAUAGUUCAAACUAUGAUAGCAAAAUUCACCUGAUGACUAAUUGCCACAAAAAUAGAAAUUUGCAUUGAAAACAAUCAAAUAAUAGAACACAAGAAAACUAAGUAAAUGAUUCCAAGGACAGAUGUAAAUAAUGCUGAAAACUAAGUAAACAGUAGUACUACUUUUGAUAUGAAGUAUGCAACCUAGUGAAAUGGCAGAUACAGAAUGCAACAAUAAAUUUCAUGGAACCAGACCAACAUUAAAGGACAUAAACUAGAGCUUUUAGGUGCACAGCAAGAACAUGUUGGCCCUAAAAAGGGGAUUACUCUAUCUUGCAGAACACAGUCUGUAAGGCUGACAGAAGAAUAAUAAAUAGAAGAUAGUAAAGAAAGUCAUUUAAUUUUUAAAGACAAUUUACUGAACAGGCAACAAAGACAUGCACAUGUAUACAAAUGUCCCAAGUACAUAUGAGGAAAUAAACUAAAGAAGUCAACCCUGUUCAUGAAUUGCAAGUAUACAACAGUGCCCUAUUUCAAGCAAUUUAAGUAACCACUAUAAAAGUACAAACACAAAUAUUAAACAGAAUAGAAAACCUAC